rnacentral:rRNA from 1 species
GACAGAGGGUGCUAGCGUUGUUCGGAAUUACUGGGCGUAAAGGGCGCGUAGGCGGUCUGUUAAGUUCGGUGUGAAAUCCCCUGGCUCAACUGGGGAACUGCGCUGGAAACUGGCAGACUCGAGUACCGGAGAGGAGAGUGGAAUUCCUGGUGUAGCAGUGAAAUGCGUAGAUAUCAGGAGGAAUACCGAUGGCGAAGGCAGGUCUCUGGGCUGACACUGACGCUCAUGCACGAAAGCGUGGGGAGCAAACAGG